AAACUUAAAUGAAUUGACGGGGGCCCGCACAAGCGGCGGAGCAUGCGGAUUAAUUCGAUGCAACGCGAAGAACCUUACCAAGGCUUGACAUAUACGAGAACGGGCUAGAAAUAGUCAACUCUUUGGACACUCGUAAACAGGUGGUGCAUGGUUGUCGUCAGCUCGUGUCGUGAGAUGUUGGGUUAAGUCCCGCAACGAGCGCAACCCUCGUUCUUUGUUGCCAGCACGUAAUGGUGGGAACUCAAAGGAGACUGCCGGGGUCAACUCGGAGGAAGGUGGGGAUGACGUCAAAUCAUCAUGCCCCUUAUGUCUUGGGCUUCACGCAUGCUACAAUGGCCGGUACAAAGGGCUGCAAUACCGCAAGGU
rnacentral:rRNA from 1 species